rnacentral:rRNA from 1 species
ACUCAUCGUCGCGACCCC